rnacentral:rRNA from 1 species
UACAGAGGGGGCAAGCGUUGUUCGGAAUUACUGGGCGUAAAGGGCGCGUAGGCGGCGUGACUAGUCACUUGUGAAAUCUCCGGGCUUAACUCGGAACGGUCAAGUGAUACUGUCGUGCUAGAGUACAGAAGGGGCAACUGGAAUUCUCGGUGUAGCGGUGAAAUGCGUAGAUAUCGAGAGGAACACCUGCGGCGAAGGCGGGUUGCUGGGCUGAUACUGACGCUGAUGCGCGAAAGCCAGGGGAGCGAACGGG